GAAGUGCGAUAAGCAAUGCGAAUUGCAGAACCGUGAGUCAUCAGAUUUUUGAACGCAACUGGCGCCGACUGGCUCUCCAGUCGGCAUGCUUGUUUCAGUGUCUCUUUAUCUCAUCACCCAAAUCAUAAUGCGAGAGAUACCCUUCUCUUGCUAAGCAUGAAAGCACUCUGCGCUCUGCGAGCGGCUUCGACUAGUUCGAGGGUCGCACUCAAUGCAGCAGUCACAUUGCUCACAAUGUGAACUCAUUGAGAGCUGAGGCAGUGCGGUGUAAACCGUUAGUGCUUAGUCACACAAACUUUCAUUGCAUCUGAAAUCAAGCAGGACCACCCGCUGAACUUAA
rnacentral:misc_RNA from 1 species